rnacentral:rRNA from 1 species
UACGUAGGGGGCAAGCGUUGUCCGGAUUUAUUGGGCGUAAAGAGCGUGUAGGCGGCCAGAUAGGUCAGCUGUGAAAACUCGAGGCUCAACCUCGAGAUGUCGGCUGAAACCAUCUGGCUAGAGUCCGGAAGAGGAGAAUGGAAUUCCCGGUGUAGCGGUGAAAUGCGCAGACAUCGGGAGGAACACCUAUGGCGAAGGCAGCUUGCUGGGACGGUACUGACGCUGAGACGCGAAAGCGUGGGGAGCAAACAGG